UACGUAGGUGGCAAGCGUUGUUCGGAAUUAUUGGGCGUAAAGGGCGCGUAGGCGGCAUGUUAAGUCGGCUGUGAAAGCCCGGGGCUCAACCCCGGAGGGUCGGCCGAUACUGGCAAGCUAGAGUACAGAAGAGGUAGCUGGAAUUCCCGGUGUAGCGGUGAAAUGCGUAGAUAUCGAGAGGAACACCUGCGGCGAAGGCGGGUUGCUGGGCUGACACUGACGCUGAAGCGCGAAAGCUAGGGGAGCGAACGGG
rnacentral:rRNA from 1 species